UCUCCGUUGGUGAACCAGCGGAGGGAUCAUUACCGAGUUUACAACUCCCAAACCCCUGUGAACAUACCAUUUGUUGCCUCGGCGGUGCCUGCUUCGGCAGCCCGCCAGAGCACCCAAACCCUUGAUUUGAUACAGAACCUUCUGAGUAAAUGAUUAAAUAAAUCAAAACUUUCAACAACGGAUCUCUUGGUUCUG
rnacentral:misc_RNA from 1 species